CCUGCCCAAGAGAUCGGGAUAACACCUGGAAACAGAUGCUAAUACCGGAUAACAACAUAUGAUGCCUAUCAACUGUUUAAAAGAUGGUUCUGCUAUCACUCUUGGAUGGACCUGCGGUGCAUUAGCUAGUUGGUAGGGUAACGGCCUACCAAGGCGAUGAUGCAUAGCCGAGUUGAGAGACUGAUCGGCCACAUUGGGACUGAGACACGGCCCAAACUCCUACGGGAGGCAGCAGCA
rnacentral:rRNA from 1 species